GGUGGCUCAGUGAUAGAGCACUUGCCUUCCAUGCUUGAGGCCCUGGGUUCGAUUCCUCAGCACCA
rnacentral:tRNA from 1 species